AAUCUUCCUAAGAAGACAGUGUCACUGUGGUCCUAUAUAAACAGCCAGCUGGAAGACUUCACUAAUCCUCUUUUUGGGAGCUACUCCAAUCAUGUCCUUUACCCAGUAGCCAGCAUGCGCCACCUAGAGCUCUGGGUGGGCUAUUAUAUAAGGUGGAACCCCCGGAUGAAACCACAGGAACCUAUCCACAGCAGAUACAAAGAACUUCUUGCCAAAAGAACAGAGCUUCAAAGAAAAGUAGAGGAACUUCAGAGAGAAAUUUCCAACCGCUCAACCUCCUCUUCAGAGAGAGCCAGCUCUCCCGCACAGUGUGUGACUCCUGUCCAAACUGUUGUAUGAAAGAACUAGCACGGGAUCCAUAUUGGCAUCUUGUACAGAGUAUAGAGGAGCUCUGCUAUGAGUGAAUGAACAAGAAACUGAAGCCGAUCAAAACCCAAAGCCUACAGUUGGGUUCCAGCUGGAGAUAGGUCUCUGUUUGGUAAAAUCCUUCUUACUUGUGGUCCUUGUGAUUACAGAUGAACGACUGCUGCUGUUUCCUUCUUCAUCAAGAGUCUUCUUGUUACCUUUUAGUUCCUUCUGCUUAUCUGUGCUUUGUUUCUCCAGCUGGCAAAUAAUCAAAGUAAGGAAAAUAAUGAAUUCAAUAAAAACAUUUUCUUUUA
rnacentral:lncRNA from 1 species